rnacentral:rRNA from 1 species
UACGGAGGGGGCUAGCGUUGUUCGGAAUUACUGGGCGUAAAGCGCGCGUUAGGCGGCUUUGUAAGUUAGAGGUGAAAGCCCGGGAGCUCAACUCCGGAAUUGCCUUUAAGACUGCAUCGCUAGAAUCAUGGAGAUGGUUAGUGGAAUUCCGAGUGUAGAGGUGAAAUUCGUAGAUAUUCGGAAGAACACCAGUGGCGAAGGCGACUAACUGGACAUGUAUUGACGCUGAGGUGGCGAAAAGCGUGGGGAGCAAACAGG